UACAGAGGAUGCAAGCGUUAUCCGGAAUGAUUGGGCGUAAAGCGUCUGUAGGUGGCUUUUUAAGUCCGCCGUCAAAUCCCCAGGGCUCAACUCUGGACAGGCGGUGGAAACUACCAAGCUUGAGUACGGUAGGGGGCAGGAGGGAAUUUCCGGUGGAGCGGUGAAAUGCGUAGAUAGUCGCUUGGAACGCCAAAGGUGAAAACAGGUU
rnacentral:rRNA from 1 species